ensembl:lncRNA
AGCUCAGGAACACGACAGGGGCCUCCCUGGGAACCUCUCAGGGCCUCUUUGCGUCGACUGGAUCUGUUGUUGGGUCUUUUGGAGAGAAGGCCUUGCAGCUGCGGCCGUGAACACUGGUGUCAAAGUCACCUUAGUGACUUGAUUGACCUUGUCUCCAGAAUGUCAGUCCUGAAGAGACUCACUUCGCUCUGUGAAUCCCACUUGGAGAUGCUCUUGGGGAAUUAAUCCAGAAGAGAGGAGCGGCUCUGCACACUAAGGAGGAGUGUUGGAGUUCCUCACUUCUCCGCGGGUGGAGAGAUACACCUGCUGUGUCCGCUGUGGGAAGCUCUCUAUACACCUUCGUGCGACAGAACAGUGCAGCUGACAUCAGCAGGACUGGAAGGACUAUGACACAAUAAGGCAGACGCAAAACUGCUCCUCUUGUAACAGGUAGGAAUCAGGGUUGUUCACAGAAGACAUCCUGGAGAAUUUGUUUUUAAUUGUUUAAAUGGAAUGAAGUGAUUUUUAUUUUUUUAAAUGGAUUUUAUCAUAUUUGUGUGGUUAGUUUUUUAAAAAUGUAUUUGAUGUGCAAACGAGGCCUUGAUCCCACAUUUCCAGCUCACACCCCUCCCUGGCACCAUGUCUCGUCUCCAGGAGCUGAGAGACUCAGUGACAUGCACCCCACAGCCGUUCCUGACACAGAGUCUCUUGUAAAAUGAAGGAGACUCUCCUGGGGGUCUGGGGUCUGGAUGGUGCGCCCCGAGUCCUCGGGUCUUCUGGUCCUGUGGCUGUGUCUUUGUUUUGUCAAUUGCGCCCUCUUCUCUGGCGCUCGGCUGUUUGCUGCACCCACGGCCAGGAGACCACGUACUGAGAACCCACUGAACCCGGAACUUUCUGGGCCACCAAGUAUUCCCGGGAAGACUGACUGGGAGGGUCCCCGAGUGUGUCCCCUCCUCCAGGCCGGCCGGGUAGAGGGCAGAUCUGGAUUUUCCCUCGGCUUUUCCUGGAAGCCUGGGCAAAGCCAGCCCCUCAGGGCCGUGGCACCCGGAUCUCCCAGCUCCGCGUGGAGAGAGGAUGAGGGCGACGGUCUGCUGUGACCAGAGGAGAUGCAGAGCCGGGGCUCCGCCUGCAGAGGCUCUCGUCCAUUCGACAGGCACCCUGUCCUGCCAGGUCUCUGCCCCGUUCCUGUGUCUCUCUGGCUGUAGGAAGCAGCAGGACCUUCAGAGGAAGUUGGAGCCGUUCUGGAAGCUGGAAGCUGCUCUUCUGCCCGAUGCUGGUUUGAGAGGCAGUCAGGAGGGCUCCACCCCUGUCAACAGGACCAAAGUCCCAGAGUCGAGAGCUCGGCUGGGCCACUUCCUGAGGGAGAUGCAGCUCCACGAGGCCUGGAGGCUGAGGAGAGUCAGGAGGAGACGCUGGAGAGGAGGGCCCAGCGUGGCCCAGCCUGCCCUGCGGCUCCUGGGGCUGCAGGUGCCAGUCGCACCUUCAGGGCUGCGGUUGGGUGUCCUCCACGGUGCUUGCGAGGGGGACCUUGAGGUUUCUUCUGGCCUCGGCUUCCUCUCACAACAACAAGGGUUGGUUCCUCGAAGGGCAAGGGCUGCGGUGACUGUGGUAUCAGAUCACAGCUGGGAGACCACACAGACUCAGCCCACCCAUCUCACUCAGCUCACACUGGUUCUACAUGCAUUCGUGUGCAUGUCUUGAUCUGUGCAAUUCUAGCACACGUAUGGAUUCGUGUGGCCACCACCACUGCCAAGAUGGAACAUCUCUGUCCAACAGGGGCCCUCCUGUGGACUCGUCACAGCCACAGCCACCUCCCCUCUUCCCUGGCCCCCACCGUCCACUCUCCAUCUCUACAAUUUGUUGUUCUAAGAAUGCUGUGUAAAUGGAGUCAUGCGGUGUGUGUGACAGGCUUUCCUCUCAGCCUGAGGCCGGCCGGGGUCGUGUGUCAGGAGCCUGUGGCCAUCUGUUGCUGAGCAGAGUGUGCUCAGCGUCUGCCUGUCGAAGGAAGGGGUGGAGGCUGCCUCUGUGCGGCUUCUCUCACAGGUGGUUCUGCGCGCCUGGUGUCGUCGGGGGCAUUUCUUCCUCCAGAGGGGAUCUCAGUGCGAACAUGGGCCCCCGUCACCUCAGGUCACCGAGGCCUCCCUGCAAGCACCCCAGAGAAGGACUGAAGAAGCACCACGUCAUGUUUAGGGGGGUGGAGGCCUGGCCAGGGAGCCACACUGAUGGCAUCCUGAGAUCCUGGGGCUGUGUCUGCCUCCCUGGUUCUCCCCCACUGAAAGCCAGGUCCAGGCUGUCACUCAGAGGGUGUGGGAGGAAAAGCCCUGGGGGCAGAGCGUGAAAUGCCACCAGAACUGACCGCUUCUGGUUCUCUGUACUCUGGCCGGACUGCUGUUCCGCACACAGCCCGCCCCUCAUGGGCCCCACAGCCGCCGUCCCGUGUUACAGAUGGAGACGCAGAGAUGAUCAGGGGGAAAGAGUGUGUUCACAUGGAACUACAUGGAAGGAACAGGACCUAAUUUAAGUGGUGUGUCACACACUAGGCGUGGUAACAGCAGUGUCAGUCAAUCAUUUUCAUACGGUUAAAUGAGAUUUGUCAAUGCCCACAGGGGCCGUGUGGGCCCCAGCGCCCAGCUUUGCCCUCUGCCUCAUGCUGUCGCUGGCCCCCUCUGAGGCACAACCUGGCACAUUUCCUCUUCAGCAGCUGCCACCCUCCCUCCCUUCUGUGUCACCCACACCCCGGAAGCUGGGAGUAAUGACAGCCCAGCCUGCGUGAAGGGCGAGGGCAGUACUGGGCGGGGCCGUGACAGGUGGCUCUUCAGCCUCGAGGAGCCACCGAAGCCUCAGAAAUGGGCUCUCAGUGUCCGUGCAGUGCUGCCAUUGCACCUGCACCUUGGAGCCCAGCUUGGCCUCCUCUGUCUCUGCUGCUGCACCGUUGUGAACUGAGCUCACACAGGAGGUAGAGAGCUGCGGGGUGGCAAGCACCCUGGUUCCUUGCUGGCCACCCCUGGGUGGGCGCGUGUGUUGUAUUUUUCUGAUGUUCCCACAGGAGCUCACAAGUGCGGCACACAUGCCAGGUGCUCAGUACAGGUCUGCUAAACAAAUGACUCGGUAGGCAGAGUAAGUCACCCACAUUGUAUGGCCGCUGUGUAAAACUGGGUACAAAUAUUCAUAAAACCUUGAAGGAAACAAACAGAAAUAAACAUACUUGUGUUGUGGUCUGGGCACGCAAGUAUGUCUUCCCCUUUGAAGUUUCUUUGCUCUUCUGUGGGUCUUGUAGUCUGAUGUUUGCUGAAGGACCAGCCUCCCAGGCUGCUGAGAAACCUUGCUCCUGGUUGCCAUGGUGCUGAGGACAGUUCGGGACCCGCUGCUGUGCAUGUCACGUGGUUCCCUGGACAGGGGUCUGCGGGUCCCACGCAGGCUUCCCACGGCUCCCGGGCCCUUGCUCCCGUGGAGCCUGUGCCGUGAGAAUCGAGAGUCAGAGCAGAGUCCGCACAGCAAGUCCCAGCCCCAGUGGCGGGAAUCAGCUGCCUCUCUCCUUUGCCUCCUGGAUAAUUUGAUGGAGGUUCUAGAAGAAAAAAAAAAUACAUAGCUUCCUGUCAUAGCCAAGAAGAGAUUCUGAGUCUAGCAAUUGCUGAUUUCAAGAGUGUCUUCAAAAAGCACCUUGAUAUUUGGCUUAACAUUGUCAAAAGUAACAAGUUAAACUUUAUUAUGAUAAAAACCAAAUAGUUUGAGGGAAAAUUCUUCAUAAUCAGCAGUCGAGGUCUCAGCACCAUCGGCUGUGUGGGGCGACGUUGCCCAUUGACUCCAACUGGCAGACCCACCAAUGCUAAUCAGCACCAGUGCAAACGCUGCCACGGGGUUAUCGUGAGGGCAGGACAGGUGUGGGCUGUGCCAAUGGUUCCCAGAUCUUGCUGGCUUCAUACACAGAAUUUACUUCCCACUCUCAGGAAGAUGGCUGCAGACCCAGCCGCUUCCAGGCAGCCUCCUGCAGGCCGCUACCAGGGCCAGGCCACCCCAGCUUCUCUCUGGGUUUCAGAACGAGGCCUCCAUCCGCAGCGGGAGAGACACUGGGGACACUGGGGCACUCAGCUUCGCCAGAGCGAUGGUGCGCUCUCAUGUCUCCAAGCACACAGCUCUGCGCUGGAUGCGAGCAGGGAGGCAGUGCAGCCCCCACCCUCCAGCGAUGGGCGCACCAGUGAGGCCUUCCGCCGCCCUCCUUCAGUGGACAGGUGGAGUGUGGCUGCAUGGCGCCCUCGCCCCCAGAGUACUGGGCCUCCUGUGCACAAGCAGUGGCAGCUUCAUGUGGAUGCGGCCACUAUUCAGCUUCUCCCCUCUGCGUAGCCCAAACAGCUAAUACGCAGAAAGCUUACCGAGGGUGUGCUGUGACUCAUCUCUCUGGACUUUGCGCACUUCCUCUCCAAGCUGUCAGUCACUGCAGAGCCCCAUUCUUUGACGCCCAGGUGUCUGAAUAGAUUGUAUCAGAAUUCUGAUUGAAUGUUAUAUUCCUAGCUUUUUUGUGAGACAACAGGAGAAACCACCACACUCAUUCCACAGGUACUAGUUGAGAUUUUACUAUGUGCCAGGCACUGAAGCACGGCAGCAAAGGUGAGUCACUGAGACUGCAAACGUCCUUUUAGGGGAGUGCAGAAGAGAAUUCUGUCAAAGAGAGAAAAGGUAACAGUGAGUUAUAAUACAGAAGGGAUUAGAGGUUCUUUCUAUGACGUUGUCGCCUUCUCCUUUAAUCCCUCAAUAUUUUCCUCUCUUAUUAUCACAGCUCUAGGGGAACAGAUUCUAAGUCAGAAAAUGAAUGAUCAAUUCCUCUGUGCAGAAUGCGGAUCUGAGGAGGCACAGUGCUUGCACAGCUCUGUGGAGGCUGAGUGUGUUGAGGGAGGGGUCCUGGAAACUGCUGCACAGGGAAAGAGAGGCCCGUGCUCACAAGGCACCUUGCCCACUGAUGGGGGAGCCCUGAGUCUUCAUAGAUUUGUUUCCUCCCUCUGAGCAUAUGUGUCUCAGAGCACUGAUGUGUUAUCAAAGCCUCCGAUGAACUGCCAACUUCUUGCUCAUCUGGCCCGAUCAGUACAGCAAACCAAGUCAAUGUUGUGCAAACACCCAGGUAGUCAGCUGUCUGGACGAUAUUCUGACCGAGGGCAGGAAAGCCCAACGAUGGCGCGAGGUCAUAAGUGUGCUAGUCUGUGAUGUGUGGUGUAAACUGCUUCCGAAUCUCCUGACUUGGGAUGGAGAAGAGUGGAUUUGUCAGCUCCAUGGCCGGACGCCACAGGCCAGAGGCUGUGCUGAUGUGGCCUGGCAGUGGCACCACACCUGGCACAGCAGUGCAAUGGAGGCUCCUGUGUGGUUGAGUUUGUGGUGGUCUACCGUCAUCCUCCAGAGCCCAUCUGGGGUCAGUGGUGGGACUGGUGAGUUAAAUGACCCUCUAGGUCUUUAAGGGCAGCCUCCAUCUCUGUCUUUCCCCCAGGAUGCAUCACUGUUCGUGAUUUUCCAUCUCGGCUGCCUCUCGGCCUUCCCUGCUUGGGUGGCUCUUAACCCACAACCAAGGAACCCAGAUGGGUAUUCUGACAACUGUCACACAUGUCCACACCAGUUUUCCUUUGGGGGCAUGGGAGGUGAGCACUUGGAUACACUGGACCCACUGUGAGCCACUCCUGGGCCAGGAUGCAUUUAUUUCCUGGGCCUCACGAGUCCCGCUCUGACAGGGGCAUGAUGACCUUUUGGGUCCCUGGGUACCAAUGUCACCUCAGACCCUGGGCCUAAGAGGCCUUGACAUGUCCAGGUGUGCAGGCCCCUUGGGGGAGUUCUAGGGGAAUCCUUACACAUGCACUUGAAUGGGUCCUCUCUUCCAGUCAGUGGGUUCUGGGGAUGGAAACUGGGCAAGGGAUUGAGAUAUUUUAUUGGGACACUUUCUUCAGCCUCCCAAUACCCAUCUUUGACUUCCUUUGGUUGUAUAAACUGAGUGAUACCCUUGCUGGCAGGCUCUCUGUCCUGCCCCCACAUGGUGCUCGGCUGGCCUGCUCUACAGCUCUCUGCAGUUCAGGGUGCUGGGGCUGCUUGUUGCCAUAAUUGCAACCACCUUGCUUCUGAUGGCUAAACGUCACCACCUGGCCUCCACUAUGUCCCCAUCCGAUCACCCUCAUUGCUGUCAGGAGCCCAGUGAAUGGCUUCUCCACCCUCAGCCCAGUUCCACAGUGGCCAGCUACAGCUGAGGGUCUCCGGACUACGUUUGCAAACAGGGUGCCCUCUGGGCUCUGUGGAGCAUGUUUACUCUUCCAUGCCACUUCUCCAAGCCUUUGGUCUGCCGUGACCAUUUGGCAUUUCCACCUCGUUUAGUGUGGGGCAUUGCUUUUUACAGGCUUCCAAAGCCCAUACUAGUGGCAUGGGGGUACUUGCCAGAGUAGCAAAUCCCCUAUCAUGGUUGAAUGAUCCCAUAUAAAUAAAGCCUAACCUGAUCAACCUUUGUGUUCUGCCUCCCCAAAUCCAGUGUCCUCUGGAUCUGGUUCUGCAUGCACUCUCCCAGCUCCUGCUGGUACAUGUUUCCUGGGUCCUGACGCUCGUUUGCUGACAGGUCCUUCCUUCCUCGUCAGACCCUGAGCUUCUCCAGCUGCGUGACACUGAUGUCAUGGAGGAGCAGAGCUGGAGCAGAUCACUGGGGAAUCCGUGUCAUCAUACAGACAUCUCUGCGUCAUGUUCCAGCACAGAUAGAGCAUUUGCCUUCAACAGGGAGAAGAAGGACACCUCUUCGGGUCCAGAAGAUGUAGGGAAACCUGAGGUUCAAGAAUUUGAGUGUAUUGAUCAGAUGACCCUCCCUGAAGCCUCAGGGUCUCCCUUCUUCCCAACCAGGUCCUGCCAUUGGGCAGCAGCCUCCCUUGGGUUGAGGGCUGCUGUCUUUAGGACUGAGUCUUGAUCCACGGCUCUUUUUGGUUCUCUGGCUGCAGGAGAGGAGAGUGUCUAUAUGGCACCAAGGAAGCCCUCUUUUUGUCACUUUUUUUAAAAAUUGGAGAUCUUUUCAUUGCCUUGUUCUUGGCAAGAGCCGCCUGAUUCUGUAAUGCAGAUGGUUGCUGCUCUUCCCAGCCACUCCGAUGCCCUGGAUGCGGCACCCAGCAGUGUGUUUCUUUCAUUGGGCUUCCACCCUGGCUCAGUGCUACUACUGCCUGGCAGGGCUGUGGUGCCACCAGUGAUGUGCCACUUGGCAUUCUGUGCUCAACCCCACCAUACAGGCUGCUCCUGGAACACUCCUGGCCCCACCAUCUUCUGCUGGGCUCCCCUGGACACAAACUCUGAAGCAGAGGUUUGUGUGCAAGAGGUUAUUGGGAGUGUUCUCGGAAGAAAAGUCCUGUGAGCAUGGGAGGGAAGAAGGAUCGGGCAGAGGAGUAUCUUGACCACUGUGCAGGUCUGCGGGGCCUCGGCUGACCCUCCGAGAUGCUCAGCAGCUGAGGCUGCUGGUCAGUUGUCUUGAUGGAGGCAGAGCCUUGGUCUUGGGGACUGGGGGCAUCUGGAUGGCGCACGACAGCACACCCUACAGAAGCCUCUGAGGUCUCAGAGUUAGAGGCAGCAACGGUGGAGUUUGAGCCAAGGAAAAGCUGCUGUCCUAACUUGCAUGUUAAACUCGCAGUAAACACCAUGUAUGGAGGUCUUGACGGGAUGAAGUCCAGCAGGUGACGAGGACCUGGAAGGAGACUCAGGUAGCCACGGUGAAGAAUGCUUAGUAACCCUUUUCACGUGUACCUAAGCCUUUUUUUUAGGAAAUGAGGAUAAAAC